UCCGGUUUGGCACCGGCAGUCUCUCUAGAGUUCCCGGCAUUACCCGCUGGCAACUAGGGACAGGGGUUGCGCUCGUUGUGGGACUUAACCCAACAUCUCACGACACGAGCUGACGACAGCCAUGCACCACCUGUGCACCGGCCCCGAAGGGCUGCCGUGUUUCCACGACAUUCCGGCGCAUGUCAAGCCUUGGUAAGGUUCUUCGCGUUGCAUCGAAUUAAUCCACAUCAUCCACCGCUUGUGCGGGUCCCCGUCAAUUCCUUUGAGUUUUAAUCUUGCGACCGUACUCCCCAGGCGGUCUACUUCACGCGUUAGCUGCGUUACCAAGUUAAUUAAAACCCGACAACUAGUAGACAUCGUUUACGGCGUGGACUAC
rnacentral:misc_RNA from 1 species